AUCACCUGGCACCCCGACUGGGUACCUCCGUUGAAGAAUGCUCCUAGCGCUUACAGAGGGCUCCAAGCGCUCCGCCAGACACCACAACCACCGUAGACCCCACGAACCACCGCAGCUUGGUUGGGGUCUCACCGUCUCCUACCCACCCUGGACCUACGACAAGGCUCCAGGUUCCAGUGGGUGAAACUCUCCUCCAAGAGAGUGAAGCAGGAACAAGCUCUUACAAGAGCUCAGUGAUUAUAGCAAGG